rnacentral:piRNA from 1 species
UUUGUUUUUACCAGAUACCACUGGGAACCC